rnacentral:rRNA from 1 species
GAUGAACGCUGGCGGCGUGCCUAAUACAUGCAAGUCGAGCGAACAGACGAGGAGCUUACUCCUCUGACGUUAGCGGCGGACGGGUGAGUAACACGUGGAUAACCUACCUAUAAGACUGGGAUAACUUCGGGAAACCGGAGCUAAUACCGGAUAACAUGUUGAACCGCAUGGUUCAACAGUGAAAGACGGUCUUGCUGUCACUUAUAGAUGGAUCCGCGUCGCAUUAGCUAGUUGGUAAGGUAACGGCUUACCAAGGCAACGAUGCGUAGCCGACCUGAGAGGGUGAUCGGCCACACUGGAACUGAGACACGGUCCAGACUCCUACGAGAGGCAGCAGUAGGGAAUCUUCCGCAAUGCGCGAAAGCCUGACGUAGCAACGCCGCGUGAGUGAAGAAGGUCUUCGGAUCGUAAAACUCUGUUAUUAGGGAGGAACAAAUGUGUAAGUAACUAUGCACGUCUUGACGGUACCUAAUCAGAAAGCCACGGCUAACUACGUG